AUGCGAUAAGUAAUGCGAAUUGCAGAAUUCAGUGAGUCAUCGAAUCUUUGAACGCACAUUGCGCCCUGUGGUAUUCCGCAGGGCAUGCCUGUUCGAGCGUCAUUUCAACCCUCAAGCUCUGCUUGGUGUUGGGCCACGCCCCCGCGGCCGGCCCCAAAGCUAGUGGCGGUGCCGUCUGGCUCUAAGCGUAGUACAUCUCUCGCUCUAGGGCCCGGCGGUUGCUUGCCAGAACCCACACUCUUAUGGUUGACCUCGGAUCAGGUAGGGAUACCCGCUGAACUUAA
rnacentral:misc_RNA from 1 species